GAUGAAGAACGCAGCGAAAUGCGAUAAGUAAUGUGAAUUGCAGAAUUCAGUGAAUCAUCGAAUCUUUGAACGCACCUUGCGCUCCUUGGUAUUCCGAGGAGCAUGCCUGUUUGAGUGUCAUUAAUAUAUCAACCUUCUCUUUUUUGAGUUGUUUGGAUGUGGGGGUUUGCUGGCCUCUUAAAUGAUUCAGCUCCCCUGAAAUGCAUUAGCAGAACAACCUGUUCAUUGGCGUGAUAAUUAUCUAUGCUAUUGAAUGUGAGGGCAGUUCAGCUUUCUAACCGUCCUUGGGCAAUUCAUCAUUAAUGUGACCUCAAAUCAGGUAGGACUACCCGCUGAACUUAAGCAUAUCAAUAAGCGGAGGA
rnacentral:misc_RNA from 1 species